rnacentral:rRNA from 1 species
AACGUAGGACGCAAGCGGUACCCGGAGUUACUGGGCGUAAAGCGCGGGCAGGCGGCUCGAAACGUCUGAUGUGAAAUCUCCUCGCUCAACGGGGAGAGGCCAUUGGAAACGGUCGAGCUGGAGGGCAGUAGAGGUAGGCGGAAUUCCGGGUGGAGUGGUGAAAUGCGUAGAGAUCCGGAGGAACACCAGAGGCGAAGGCGGCCUACUGGGCUGCACCUGACGCUGAGCCGCGAAAGCCAGGGGAGCGAACGGG